CACGACUGCUGUGCGCUUAUGCGGUAUUAGCACCUAUUUCUAAGUGUUAUCCCCCUGUAUACGGUAGGUUGCCCACGCGUUACUCACCCGUCCGCCACUAAGAUACAUUUUCCUUCAGACGAAUCCUCAUUCCAAUAUAUCCCCGUUCGACUUGCAUGUGUUAGGCACGCCGCCAGCGUUCAUCCUGAGCCAGGAUCAAACUCU
rnacentral:rRNA from 1 species